rnacentral:rRNA from 1 species
UGCAAGUCGAACGGUCUUUCUAUGGAAGCUUGCUUCCACUGAGAAGAUAGUGGCGAACGGGUGAGUAACACGUGGGUAACCUGCCCAUAAGAGGGGGAUAACAUCCGGAAACGGGUGCUAAUACCGCAUAGUUUUCUUGAUCGCAUGAUUGAGAAAGGAAAGACGGCCUUUGUGCUGUCGCUUAUGGAUGGACCCGCGGCGUAUUAGUUAGUUGGUGAGGUAACGGCUCACCAAGACGAUGAUACGUAGCCGACCUGAGAGGGUGAUCGGCCACAUUGGGACUGAGACACGGCCCAAACUCCUACGGGAGGCAGCAGUAGGGAAUCUUCCGCAAUGGACGAAAGUCUGACGGAGCAACGCCGCGUGAGUGAAAGAAGGUUUUCGGAUCGUAAAACUCUGUUGUCAGAGAAGAACAAGUUGGAGAGUAACUGCUCCAGCCUUGACGGUAUCUGACCAGAAAGCCACGGCUAACUACGUGCCAGCCGCCGC